rnacentral:rRNA from 1 species
CAAUAGUGUAUAUUAAAUUUGUUGUGGUUAAAAAGCUCGUAGUUGGACCUUAGGACGAAAAGUCAUUAAAAGCCCGUCGAAAAGACGCAGAGCUUAUGACUUUCUCCUUUCUUUGGAAGCACGUACAACAGUAUGGCUUCUUUCAUUUACUUUGAAAAAAUCAGAGCGUUCAAAGCGGCGUAAAAAUUGCCUUGAACAUAUCAGCGAGGAAUAAUAGAACAAGACCCUGUGUCAUGUUCUUAGUCAGGUUCCCAUGACUGGGGUAAUGAUCAAUAGGGACGGUCGGUGAUUGAAGUAUUUGAUUGUGAGAGGUGAAAUUCGGUGAUCGGUCAAAGACUAACUGAUGCGAAAGCGUUAUGUCAAGGACGUUUUCAUUAA